rnacentral:misc_RNA from 1 species
GAUGAGAACGCAGCGAAAUGCGAUAAGUAGUGUGAAUUGCAGAAUUCAGUGAAUCAUCGAAUCUUUGAACGCACAUUGCGCCCCUUGGUAUUCCAUGGGGCAUGCCUGUUCGAGCGUCAUCUACACCCUCAAGCUCUGCUUGGUGUUGGGCGUCUGUCCCGCCUUUGCGCGUGGACUCGCCCCAAAUUCAUUGGCAGCGGUCCUUGCCUCCUCUCGCGCAGCACAUUUGCGCUUCUCGAGGUGCGCGGGCCGCGUCCACGAAGCAACUAUUACCGUCUUUGACCUCGGAUCAGGUAGGGAUACCCGCUGAACUUAAGCAUAUCAAUAAGCGGAGGA